UUCUGGCACAGCUCCGAGAGAUACCUGGCUUCGGUACGGGAACAACGCGGAAGUAACACACGCUAUGGUCACGUGCCAGCCAGUACGAGGUCACAAUGUGGUUCGGUGAACGUCUUCUUCAUUUCUUUGUUUAAGCUCAGUUCCAUACAAUGUCUGAAACAACGCAUAGUAGUUGGUGGUCUAUACUGCAGGAAUUGGAGUCUUGAAAUAACUUAUAUAUGACAGAUCUUACGUCCCCUAUGCUGGAUUAAUCUUUGGUACACGUAAUUAAAAAGAAUGACUCUCAGUGUGGAUCCAGAAAUUCACGUACGUAAAUACUUGCACAUGAACGAUUUGAUGAUUUUCAUCGUCGCUCUGGUAACGGUCUCGCUGCUGGGCGGGUUUCUUAACCGAGUUGGUUAUGGCGAAGACAGGAAUUCAACGAACAGUACCGAAGCGGAUUACAAUUGGAGCUACAGAGCCAGAAUUGGAGUAGCCUAUAGUUAUUUUUCCUACAGGUAUUACUUCCAUCCAUAAACAAAGGAAGUUUCCUCCUAUAAGCAUUAGCCUGGUGAUUAACAUUCCGAACCGAAGACCCGAUGACCCACAAGCGAAGAUGUCGUUUAUAAUUUCAAAUAACUUAUUAUCGAUGACGAGAAACCAACUUUGAGACUAAUAAUGGUUGGAGACGGCUUGAAU